CAAAAGGCCCUAUUUAGGGCCAGCAGAACCAUUUCAUAAAUUUGUGU
rfam:Calypte anna contig70475, whole genome shotgun sequence.